CGGUUACACCAAGAGAUUAAGUUAUAUUUUAAGGUAAAAAGACAGUUAGGCUUAAAAUAAGUAAUAUUAAUGUUUAUUGACCGUUUAUACUAAGGUAAAAUUUAUAUAUAAAUAGCUAAAUCAAAUAUAACAUUAUUGCUGAAGCUGUGAUAAUUAUGAGGGAAACUGGGAUUAGAUACCCCAUUAUUCAUAAUUGUAAAUCUAACUAAAUUUACCAGAGUACUAUGAAUAAGAAUAAUUAAUUCAAAAUAGAAAUUUAAAACUCAAAGGGCUUGGCGGUGUUUUAGACCUAUCAGGGGAACCUGUCUCAUAAUCGACAAUCCACGUUAAACCUAACCUUACUUUGUACACAGUUUGUAUACCGUCGUCGUCAGGUAACUUUUAAAAAGCUAGAAGUUAGCAAUAUAAAUUACUGUAAAUUUAAACGUCAGAUCAAGGUGCAGCUAAUAGUAAGGAGAGGAUGGGUUACAAUUAUUUCAUUCGUAAUCACGGACAACUUAAUGAAAAAGGGUUUAAAGGAGGACUUGAAAGUAAAAUAAAAUAUAUAAACAGUUUGAAUAUGGCUCUG
rnacentral:rRNA from 1 species